AAAAAGCGGCCGGAAGCCGAACCUUUUCUCGGCCUUAUCCGUGCGAACGGUGAACGCCGUCCGCGCCACCGCCCACGUGUAGGGGUUCAAGAGCGGCGCGAACCCCACCCCCAAAGCCCCCAGAACCCCUCUGAGGAUCCCGUUGAGGCGGGCCAGGAUUCCCGGCAGGAAUUCCGGGAUGGGGAAUUCCCGGAUUCCCGCGGGCCGGAGGAGCCGGAUGUUGAAAUCCUCGUAAGGGAUGGGAGGGGAGGAAUCGUAGCAGAAGAAAACUUCGCCCGCCACCGAGGCCGGGCGGGAGCGGGCGGCGCGGGCGGCGAGGACGUGCAUCCAGGCCACGUUUCCUGGAGAAUUUUUGGGGAAAAAAUUGGGAUUUUUGGGAUUUUUUUGGAUUUUUUUUGGAUUUUUUUUGGAUUAUUUUUGGAUUUUUUUUAUUUUUUUUGGAUUUUUUUUGGAAUUUUUUUUAUUUUUUUUUAUUUUUUUUGGAAUUUUUUUCCAAUUUUUUUUAUUUUUUUGGAUUUUUUUUGGAUUUUUUUUAUUUUUUUGGGGUUUUUUUUUAUUUUUUUUGGUUUUUUUAAUAUUUUUUUUUUUUAUUUUUUUGGAUUUUUUUGGAUUUUUUUGGAUAUUUUUUUUAAAUUUUUUUUGGAUUUUUUUAUUUUUUUUUAUUUUUUUUUUUUUUGGUUUUUUUUUAUUUUUUUUAAAUUUUUUUUGGAUUUUUUUAUUUUUUUUUAUUUUUUUUUGAUUUUUUUUGGAUUUUUUUAUUUUUUUGGGGUUUUUUUUGGAUUUUUUUUAUUUUUUUCGAAUUUUUUUCGAAUUUUUUUUGGAUUUUUUUUGGAUUUUUUUUUAUUUUUUUGGAUUUUUUUUGGAUUUUUUUUGGAUUUUUUGGGGAAUUUUUUUGAUUUUUGGGGUUUUUUUGGGAAUUUUGAGGGUUUAGGGGGUGUGAGCAACAGGACGUGCAUCCAGGCCACGUUUCCUGGAGAAUUUUUGGGGAAAAAAUUUGGGAUUUUGGGGACUUUUACCAAUUUUUUUAAAAUUUUUUUUUUUUUUUUUAUUUUUUUUGGAUUUUUUUUGGGAUUUUUUUUGGAUUUUUUUUGGAAUUUUUUUAGAAUCUUUUUAGAAUUUUUUUCGAAUUUUUGGGGAUUUUUUUUUAUUUUUUUAAAUUUUUUUGGAUUUUUUUUUGGAAUUUUUUUGGAAUUUUUUCGGAAUUUUUUCGAUUUUUGGGGUUUUUUCAGGGAAUUUUGGGGGGAAUUUGGGGGUUUAGGGGAUGUGGGUGGUCAGGACGUGCAUCCAAGCUACGUUUCCUGGAAAAUUUUGGGGAAAAAAUUGGGAUUUUUGGGAAAAAAUUGGGAUUUUUUUCGAAUUUUUUUUGAUUUUUUUUUUUUUGGAUAUUUUUUUUAUUUUUUUGGAUUUUUUUUUAUUUUUUUGAUUUUUUUUGAUUUUUUCGGUUUUUUUUGGGGGGGGGAUUUUUUUUGGAUUUUUUUGGAUUUUUUUUGGAAUUUUUUUUUAUUUUUUUUGGAUAUUUUUUCUUAUAUUUUUUUUGGAUUUUGUUUGGAUUUUUUUUGGAUUUUUUUUUUUUUUUUCGAAUUUUUUUGGAUUUUUUUUAGAUUUUUUUGGGGAAUUUUUUUGCUUUUGUGUUUUUUUUGGGAAUUUUGA
rnacentral:lncRNA from 1 species